AAGAACUGACAUGUGGGGCCUGUAUACUAAUUUGUUGCGUGCUGGUAAAAAAAGGUAAGGAAAACCCUGCCCAUACUCGUUCUCCCCUCUGAAGCCUCGACGUCUGGCGGCGGCGGCUCUCCCAGUGAUUCGGCGAUCAACGAACAAUCGACGAGCGGAGGCGCGUGGAACCGGCGACGAGCUCACGGAUGGAGAGAUCACGGGAAGAACAGAAGUUGGGAAACAAAGGCAAGCUCACUUGGCGGCGCGGUUUGAAGCCAGAGCGUUUCAAGCACAGGCAAGACCCGGAAUUCUUCGCCGGAGUAUGCAAGAUGGCGACGCAGGCCAUCAGCGAAUUCUACGCUCGAGGAAGCACAACCAUGUUGCUUCAGAUGAUGUACAGGAACAGUUACUACAUGGUCCUCUAUUAGAAGGGUGCCGAGCUGUACUCGGCGAUGGAGACCGCCAUGGCCUCGGAAGUUCAGAACCUCUGGAGGGCUCUGAACGACGCCGCUCCGGCGGACGGCGGCGCCGCGUUCUUGCAGGAGCUGCUGGCCAGGUGGAAUCAGCACCUCGAGGCCGUCAUGAUGACCCGGGACAUGUUGCUGUACAUGGACUGGACAUUCGUCCGAACCAAUCGCAAGACGCCCAUUCAGGAGCUAGGGCUCCGCUUGUGGCGCGACCACCUGACCAGAUCCGACAAGGUCCGGGAGAGCCUCAUCGAGGUGGUGAAGCAAAGAGGAGGUGAGGACGAACUGGUGGCUGCUGUGAGCAAGAUGCUGACAGAGCUUGGCCCUUACGUUCCGGGCCUUUUCUUUGAAAGGGUAUAGCUUUUGUUAGCUUAAUCAGAAGAGUGGAUUGUGCCAUAUAUACUAGUAUGAAACUAGUGCUAAAUGAAGGGCAUCAGAAAGGAUGUUAUUGAAAAAAGAAAAGGAUGAAAAAUAGGGUCCUAUUCCUAUAGUACUAAUAAUCAGGGAACUUUUCUUGACAUGGUGAAAGUUUUGUCUUUGUGCUAUGAGAUUUGUUA